GAAAGAACAAAGAGCACUAGAAAAUCAAAAAGAUAGAACGAAAAUAACGUUUUCAACCUCUUACGUAUAUUUGUCUUCCUUUUAUAUUCAUUCAAUUCCUUU
rnacentral:ribozyme from 15 species